UCAUUAAAAUAAUCCAACCAGCAGACCUCCAGUUGUGGCAGUGUCCUAAUUAAAAGAAUCCAACCAGCAGACCUCCAGGUGUGGCAGUGUCCUAAUUAAAAGAAUCCAACCAGCAGACCUCCAGUUGUGGCAGUGUCCUCAUUAAAAUAAUCCAACCAGCAGACCUCCAGUUGUGGCAGUGUCCUCAUUAAAAUAAUCCAACCAGCAGACCUCCAGUUGUGGCAGUGUCCUAAUUAAAAGAAUCCAACCAGCAGACCUCCAGUUGUGGCAGUGUCCUCAUUAAAAUAAUCCAACCAGCAGACCUCCAGUUGUGGCAGUGUCCUCAUUAAAAUAAUCCAACCAGCAGACUUCCAGUUGUGGCAGUGUCCUCAUUAAAAGUACACAACUCAGAAUGAACCAUGCUACACCUGGAAGUUCAAUGUUUUCAUUGAACUCCUAAUAAGAAGUAAGUAGAGCUGGAUGGAUAGGACACAGAGUUGUAUAGAGUACAUCUAAAGAUGGGAGAGCCAUCAUUUCCAACAGAUAUCCUUGCCGGGGGUGGCUUUGAACAUCAUGCAAUGCUUCUCAUGGAGGGAGCCUGAAGAUGUUCCGUGUGUCACGCCUCAUGUGUUCUCAGUCAACUUACCUGGUAAAAUAAGGGGGAAAAAAAAUACAAAAAUCAAAUGUCUAAAACGGGAAAAAAGGGAGACAAAUCUCAAAAUCUACAAAUUCAAUGUUUUACACAAUAAUGUUUCUCAUUUGAUGAGUUACUGAUCUGUCCUUCCACAUGCUCAAUCUGCUGUAGACUACAACUGGACUCUUGCGCUCGGAUCAUACUGGCACACAAUGUCCAUGUACCAGAUGGCUUGAGGGAUGCUCUCCUGUUGGGCUGGAAAACAAAGACAUUUGGUCAGUGGUCGGUCUUUUUUAAUGCUUUUUCACCAUCUUUAUUUUUACAGAAAAUGCAUUGUUUAUCAUAACACAAACACACCUUGGACAACGUGACAAGUGGUCCCUCAACACCCGACCCUAAAUCAUGAGAACCAUACACAAACAUACUGAACAGCUAUAUCCACAAAUUCAUAAAUAUUUAAUUAGCUAACUAGUUAACGUUAGCUCACAAUUUGUAUUGUUUUCCACAUGGUGACAUGUAGUUAGCCCACCAGAGCAUGGAUAUUUAACAUUAGCUAGCUAGCUACGUUAGCACAUCGUUCAUGUAGUCAGACUUUUCCCCAGACCCUAAGUUUUGUUUUAACAUGCUAGCUAGUCCACCAGGGCAGGGAUAUUUAAUGUUAGCUAGCGCUAAUUGCUCAAGUUUGGCACACCUGCUAGCAUGUCACCGCCUGUCAGGAAAGUCUGACUACACGACGGUGAGAUACGGUGUAACGUUAGAUAAUGUAGCUAGGUAGCCAACCAAUGUGCCUAACUAACUAACGUAAACUCACCCCAUUCCGUACAAAUGUGCGCAACCGCGACAUUCAAAUGAGGCUACUGGGACUGUAGCGACUGUGUUGACUUCAACAUCUGGGGUGUGAACUACGUUUCUAUUCAAGCGUUGAUCGACAUGGUAAUUGCUCUAUAGUAUUGGAGAAAAGUAGAAAAAUCUGACCCUCCAUUACAUCGUAACGUACAGCACGCAUAAAGCAACUAUUUCUGUCUUACAAUCUCUCUCCACCAGGUGUAGCACUUCUCUCAUCGUUUAAAAACAAGAAAUGGACAGUGACGGGGGUAAGGGGGAUACCUAGUCAUUUUUUGCGUCAUCACUGUAAGCGAUCAUGACUCUCAAAGCCGCUGUUUACUUCUGAAGAUCACUUUAGCACCGCCCUAAAAACCCGAUUCAAAUUCGACACAAACCUUCAAAUAGGUAUGUAAUGACACAUUAUAUAAACUCUUAAUAGUUUUUUAUUUACAUUUUAGAGGCGAUAAGGUGAUAAGAUCGAGUGAAAAAAAGCAGGUUUCCCAUACAUCUCGCCUUCUCGCUAUCACGCAUUAGUUUCGCUUCCCCACCCACCAUUUUUAAAAAGACCCGAAGGAGUUCAUUGCCUUCUUGAAUUAUGCAGAAACGGGCAGCGUGGAUCUCAUGUCAUUAAUUUUGUUGGAAAGGGGAGAAAUUGUACUUUACAAUGGUAUUGAUAUUACAGUUGAUCUGGAAGUAUUACGUUUUUGGGGCGAUAAAAUAAGGUCAAUUGUACGGACCAAGGCGGUGUACAAAAGUGAGUGAGUUUACGUUAACCCACCAGGUGAUAUUUAGCUAGCUAGCUAGUUAACAUUAGCUCACCGUUCAUGUAGUCAGACAUUACUAUGUGGUGACAGGCUAGUUAACUAUCCUUGCCCUGGUCCGUGCUAACGUUAACUAGCAUGUCACCACUUGGAAAAGUCUUGACUACAUGAACGGUGAGUUAACGUUAACUAGCUAGAUAGCCAAAUAUCCCUGCCCUGGUGGGCUAACGUUAGCUUGCAUGUCACCACGUUGAAAAGUAUGACUACACGAAUUAUGAGCUAAGGUUAACUAGCUGGCUAGCUCACAAAGGACAAUAAUAAAAGGUCACAACAGUCAUUAUGCUAGCUUAUGCUUGUUUUCUUUUUACUUGUGUAACUGAUGUGAAAUGGCUAGCUAGAUAGCGGGGUGCGCGCUAAUAGCGUUUCAAUCGGUGACGUCACUCGCUCUGAGACCUUGAAGUAGUUGUUCCCCUUGCUCUGCAAGAGCCGCGGCUUUUGUGGAGCGAUGGGUAAUGAUGCUUCGAGGGUGGCUGUUGUUGAUGUGUGCAGAGGGUCCCUGGUUAGAACCCAGGUAGGGGCGAGGAGAGGGACGGAAGCUAAACUGUUACACUUGUAAGGAAGGUAAAAUGCCUUAUACACUUUACAGUCGGUGGUUAUCUAACUUAGCUAAUUUUCAUUAGCACCUAGCUAACCACAGAUCUUUGUCUUAUUACCCAAAAUAGUUUGUUAUAAGCUAAAAAACAGGGCUUACCAUAUCACACGGCUCCAGCGACGCUUCUCGCUUACAGAGGUUGGAAAACGAUAAAAUGCAUGUGUGCUUAUCAGAGUAGUGGAUAAAAUCCGGUACAUAGCACAGAAUCAUCCUUGCUUCUGAUCGACAGAGAUACCUAAGGUUAGCUAGCUAGCUUUAUAGGCCAGGGUAAUUAAACAAAUCCUAGUGUAACCGAUGUGAAAUGGCUAGUUAGUUAGCGGUGGUGCGCGCUAAUAGCGUUUCAAUCAGGGGGCCGCAGCUUUUGUGGCGCGAUGAGUAACGAUGCUUCGUGGGGUGUCAGUUGUUGAUGUGUGCAAGGGUCCCUGGUUCGAGCCCGGGUUGGGGCGAAGAGAGGGACGGAACCUACACUGUUACACUAGUAAUAAAAAAAUGCUAAGGUUACUUGCUACUUGUCGAUAUGAAUUUACAUGGAGAAAUGUGGAUGUUUUUCCUACUCUGAAACGCUGGCUUGAGUGAUGAUGCCAAAGCUUGCGACAGGAUGUGUAGUUCUGUAUGAUAUUGAUAAGUGACCUUGUCCGAGAGAGAUUUACACGAUUAGCAAAACAUCACGCCAGGGUAAGCCUAGAUGACAUACAUGUGAAGUGGUUCUAAAAUCCCCUAUGGGAAAAAGAAUGGUGGAAAAAUUAUUGAAACCGUUUACAUGUUUGAACGAUAGGUUUUAUGGGUAUUAUGACUAUUAUGACUCUUACUGUGGUAGACUAUAUAGUGGAUAAUCUGUGCAUUAACAACACGGAUAGAACAAUGAACCAGAUGUUUCACCCAACGAUUUAUAUAUACACUAGAGGACUGAUAGGCUUGUUGUGUUGAAGCCACUGUGCCUCCAUCUUGGCACUCACCCACCAUUGUAAAAAAUAUUUUGGAAGCGACAGAAAUGCAUUUAUUAAUGUCUAUAUUUGUUUUUUUAACACUUGUAUUCUAUUACAGAUGUAGCAAUAUUGAUGUUACUCAUAUUGAUGUUACACAGGAAACGGAAACCGGUUGUUACUUACUUUAUUAAUGUGCUGGUCGACAACAUGCCUAGUAAAGUUUGCUUAACUAUAUAUCUUUGUCUGUCAUGACUACAACACAAAGCAUAUUGAAACAUGGUGGCAGCGGUACUCAAAAGAACCUGUAUCUCAUCGAUGUAAAUGAAGAAUACAUCCCAGGCGACAGUUUGAAAAAGUGCCGCGUUUACAGGCUAGUCAUCGCGCCGAACGUCUACGUUAACUGGCUAUCGUGAGUGACUCUGUGCUAAAAGCUAGCUGGCUAUUGGAUACAAGCAGAUUCGUGAGUAGCUAACGUUCCAUUCUACAACUAAAUCGCCAUGGAAAAUGCACUGAAACCUACGGGAAAAAUAGACUUUGAUGAUUGUAAUUUAGCACUGACCUGGAAAAGAUGGAAAGAGGAAUUGAAUUUGUACAUGGCUCUUACAAUGAGAGAAAAACGUGAUGACUACAAAGUGAAGC
rnacentral:lncRNA from 1 species